GGGGUCAUAGCUCAGUUGGUAGAGCGUUUGAAUGGCAUUCAAAAGGUCGGGGGUUCAAUCCCCCCUGACUCCACCA
rnacentral:tRNA from 1 species